CAACACCUAAAUCAAAGAACUUCAAAUUCCAAUACAAAAUUCAUCUUUCAAAAAUCUCCUCUUCGCAAAACCCUUACACUUCUUCUCCCGCUCUCUCUCUCUCCUCCAUUCUUUCCUCCUCCCAAAUGUUCGAUCCCAGAAAACUCUCAACCAAAUCUCACCCCCAAAUUCCAUCAAUCUAAAACCCUACUUUCCAAAAAUUUCCGAAUUUGCAAGCAUCAAUCAUGCCGUCAUUCCUCUCCGACGACGAAUUCGAGCGAUUCAAAGCCUCCGGCGACGCUUCUGCGGUGGCGGAGAAGGCGGAUUCCUACAUUCGCGACCUCUACGCGAACCUCGAGACCGUCAAAGCCGAAGCCGAUGCCGCCUCCAUUACUGACGAGCAGACUUGCUCGCUCCUUGAGCACAAAUACCUUUCACUGUCGUCCGAGUUCUCUGCUCUCGAAACUCGGUAUUCGGAGCUUGAUUCUAAUUUGCAGAAUCGUGUUUCGGAGCUUGCUCAAGUUCAGUCUGAUAAACACCAGCUUCAUCUUAAAUUCAUCGAAAAAGAUGGAGAGAUUGAAAGGCUAUCAAUAGAGGUGAAGGAGCUGCAAAAUUCGAAGAGGCAAGUAGUGGAAUUAGUAGGGGUGAAGGAUGAAGAGAUCAGUGAGAAAAAGGCUACUAUCAAGAGUUAUCAUGACAAGAUCACAAGCUUGACAGAACGUUCUUCUCAGAGGGAAGCUAAGUUGAGUGAGCUUGAGGCCGAGUUGAUGCGCUGUAGGGCUAACUGUGACAAACUAUCGCGAGAGAAGGAGCUUAUUGAAAAGCACAACACUUGGCUUAAUGAGGAAUUGACAGCAAAAGUUGAUAGUUUGCUGGAGCAGCGUAGGAAAUGUGCAGACAUGGAGGCAGAUUAUUCGAUGAAAUUAGCUGAUAUGGAAAAGCAGUACAACGAAUGCUCUAGCUCUUUGAGUAGGCAUAAGGAGAUGGUCAGAGAGCUUGAAUCAAAGGUAGAAAAUUUGCAUCGAGAAUUAUGUUCAGCCCGAGAUGAUGCUUCUGCUUCCGAGCAACAAUAUGCAGCAGAAAUUUCAACAGUUUCCAAACUUGUUGAUCUGUACAAGGAAAGUUCUGAGGAGUGGUCCAAAAAGGCUGGAGAGUUGGAGGGCGUGAUAAAGGCUUUGGAAACACAUUUAAGUCAAGUUGAAAGUGAUUACAAAGACAAGCUUGAGAAGGAAACUGCUGCUAGGAAGGAGGUGGAAAAGGUGUCUGCGGAGUUGAAGGAGAAACUUGAAAAAUGUGAAGCCGAACUUGAGUCAAGUAGAAGAGAUAACGAGCUGGAUAUUCUCCCUUUGAGUAGCUUUACCACCGAACGCUUGACAUAUCCUUCCAACACAAAUGAUUUUACUGGAGAUAAUCUAGCAAUUGUACCUCAUGUCCCAGCAGGUGUCUCAGGAACAGCUCUAGCAGCGUCCCUACUCCGGGAAGGUUGGAGUUUAGCUAAGAUGUACACUAAAUAUCAGGAAGCUGCAGAUGCAUUGCGACAUGAGCAGUUAGGCAGAAAGCAAACUCAAGCUAUUUUGGAGCGGGUUCUUCUUGAAAUAGAGGAGAAGGCUUCUGUCAUCUUGGAUGAACGAGCAGAACAUGAUAGGAUGGCUGAAGCUUAUGCUGUGAUGAAUCAUAAGCUGCAACAAUCUCUUUCAGAGCAAUCCAAUUUGGAUAAAGUUAUCCGUGAAUUGAAGGCAGAAGUAAAAAAGCAUGAGCGUGAGUACAAAUAUGCACAGAAGGAGAUUAGGGAUCUUCAGACUCAGGUUACCAUCCUUUUAAAAGAAUGCCGUGAUGUACAACUGCGUUGUGGACUUGAUAGCCAUGAGUACCUGAAUGAUGAUAUUGCCGGUCCUUUGUCUGACAUUGACGAUGAAUCUGGCGCUCAGAAGGUUAUUUCUGAGCACUUGCUGUCUAUUAAGGAUAUUAAGGGCUUGGUUGAACAAAAUGCCAAGCUUCGCAGCUUAGUACGAAGUCUAUCUGAUGAUAUUGAGAAUAAAGAAAUGCAGCUAAAGGAACAAUAUGAGGAGCAGCUCCAGAAGCACAAGGAGGAGGCAGCUUCUAAAGUUGCUGCAGUUCUGGAAAGAGCUGAAGAGCAAAGACAAAUGAUUGACUCACUUCACUCAUCUGUGGCUAUGUACAGGAGAUUGUAUGAGGAGGAGUAUAGACUCCGCUCUUCUUCCCAACAUGUAUCUAUUGAACCACCUCCUUCAGAUGGUAGGAAGGACUUCAUGCUGCUUCUAGAAGGCUCCCAGGAAGCCACAAAGAAGGUUCAAGAGCAGGCCAGUGAACGUCUGCGAUGCCUUGAAGAUGAAUUAGCUAAUCGGAAGGCUGAAAUCAUAACCUUGCGUUCUGAGAGAGAUAAGUUUGCCUUAGGAGAAAAUUUUGCCCAAGAGAAACUUGAGAGGUUUAUGAAAGAAUUUGAUAAUCAAAGGCAGGAAAUGAAUGGAGUUUUAUCACGGAAUGUCGAGUUCUCUCAGCUCAUAGUUGACUACCAAAAAAAGCUGCGGGAAGCUGCUGAAUCUGUGAACACAGCUGAGGAGCUCUCACGGAAAUUGAACAUGGAACUUUCUGUUCUAAAGCAUGAAAAGGAACUGCUUUUGAACUCUGAAAAAAGAGCUCAGGAUGAAGUUCAAGAUUUGUCUAAGAGGGUGUAUAGACUCCAAGCUACUUUGGAUACCAUACAAAGUACAGAGCAAGCUCAUGAGGAAGCCAGAGUUGAAGAGAGGCGGAAGCAGGAAGAAUACAUAAAAAAGAUUGAAAGAGAAUGGGCUGAGGCCAAGAAGGAGCUUCAGGAGGAAAAGAUCAAAGUCCAGACUCUUUCACUGGAUCAUGAUCACACUAUUAAAGAUGGCAGGAGACAAAUUGAAAAUUUGGGUAAAGAAUUAGCCGCAGCAUUGCAAGCUGUUACAGCUGCUGAGGCCAGGGCUGCUGUGGCUGAGGCACGAUGUGCUGAUCUUGAAAGAAAAUUGAAUUCCUCUGAAUAUAAGGUUGCUGAGCAAGACGGUGGGUUGAAACCUUCGUCAUCUUCAGCAACUGAGAGCUUAGGGGAUGUAGGGUUCAGGGAAGAAAUUGAACGGUUAAAAGCAGAAGUUCAAGCCAGCAAAGACCACAUGCUUCAGUAUAAGAGCAUUGCAGAAGUGAAUGAUGCUGCAUUGAAACAGAUGGAAGGUGCUCAUGAUUACUUCAGGAUUGAGACUGAACAAAUGAAGAAGACUCUUGAAGCAGAAAUUCAGUCACUCAGAGAUCGGGUUCAUGAACUUGAAAAUGAAUCUAGUUUGAAGUCUGAAGAAGUGGCCUCUGUAGCUGCUCAGAAAGAUGAAGCUCUUGCAUCUGCUUUUGCUGAAAUUAACUGCUUGAAGGAAGAAACUUUAAAUAAAAUUUCUCAGCUUGAGGCUCUGGAAGUCCAUGUUACUGGUUUGAAAAAUGAUCUGGAGAGGGAGCAUCAACGAGCACUUGCAGCUCAAGCUAAUUAUGAAAGACAGGUUAUGUUACAAUCUGAAACUAUACAGGAGCUGACAAAGACUUCGCAAGCUUUGGCUUCACUUCAGGAGGAAGCAUCCGAACUUCGGAAAACUGUUGCUGCUUACAAAUCUGAGAAUGACGAGCUCAAGUCAAAGUGGGAUGUGGAGAAGUCAGAGAUGGAGAAGUCAAGGAGUGAAGUUGCAAAGAAAUAUGAUGAGCUUAAUGAUCAAAAUAAAGUCCUGCACUGUCAACUUGAGGCAAUGCACAUGAAAUUAGCUGGGAAAGACGAUGCCGGUGGAGUAACUUCUGCAGGUGUUGGUGCCGAUUCACAAAGUGAUGAUGGCUUGCACAGCGUAGUUAGCUAUCUCCGGCGUUCAAAGGAGAUAGCAGAAACUGAGAUUUCAUUGUUAAAACAGGAGAAAAUGCGUCUUCAGUCUCAACUUGAAAGAGCUCUAAAGGCAGCUGAGGCAGCAGAAGCGUCACGUAGUGCAGAGCGUGCAAGUUCAAGAAAUUUGAUGUUCUCAGAGGAUGAGUUCAAGGCCUUGAAACUUCAGGUAAGUGAAAUGAAUUUGCUGCGGGAGAGCAAUAUGCAACUUAGAGAGGAGAACAGGUAUAACUUUGAGGAGUGUCAGAAGUUGCGGGAAGUUGCGCAAAAUGCUAAAGCUGAGGCUGAUAAUAUACAAAACCUUCUUAGAGAGAAAGAACUUGAAGCUGAAGCCCUCAAGAAAGACAAUGAACUGCAGAAGAAAGAGAAAGAGCUUUUGGAAAGCAGGAUUUCCGAUAUGCUUGAAAAAUCCAAAAGCUUUGAUUUAGAGGACUAUAAUCGACUGAGAAGUGAGGUUGAUCAAUUGCAGGCCAGUCUGAGGGAAAAGGAUGCUAUGAUAGAAGAAACGAGAAAACUUGUUUCUCAGAAAGAAGAAAUAAUAACAAAAUUAGAGCAAGACCUUUCACGAAUCAAACUGGACCUAACUGAAAAGGAGAACCGCCUUUCUCAAGCAGAGGCUAGUUUGAAAUCAGAUGCGGAUCAUAAGAAGAAGGCUUUUCUUCCUUAUAAACGAAGGAUUGAUAUGCUUUUGAAGGAGAAGGAAGCACUUUCCAAAGAGAAGGAGGCACUUUCUAAAGAGAAGGAAACACUCUCCAAAGAGAAGGAAGCACUUUUCAGAGAGAAGGAAUCACUUUUGACAGAGAGGGAAGCACUUUUAAAAGAAAGAGAAUCAUGGGCAAAAGAAAAGGAACUGCUGAACAAGGAGAAGGAUGAAGCUAGCAAAGAGAAGCAAGCUAUCUCCAAACAGUUGGAGGAUCUUCGUCAGGAGAAGAAAUCCACAGGAGACACCCCUGCUGACCCAGCAGCGAGAGAAAAGGAUGCCAGGAUACAGAUCUUGGAGAAUACUGUGGGUAGACUGAGAGAAGAUACCAAGAAAGAAAAAGGUAGGCGUAUGAACUAUGAGAAAGUUAUUACUACAAAAGCUGGUAUUGUUAAACAGGAAAAAGAGAAGUUUGAAAAUGAAUGGGGCAAGCAUCAGGAGGCACUGAAGAAGAUUUCAGAUGAGCUUGAAAAGCUCAAAAAUGCGAAGGACAGCCUUCCUGAGGGUACUUCAGUGGUACAGCUUUUAUCUGGAACUACCUUGGAUGAUAUGGCCUCUGCAUAUGUGUUGGCUGUUGAAAACUUUGAAAGGGAAGCCAAUUCAGUCCUCAAUGACAUACGGAACCAGGCUGUUGUUAGUAACUCUUCAGCCACAGAUACAGUUCCAUCUGUAGCUGGUAGCUCUCAGGCAGUGCCUGCUGAAGGUUCGAGUACGAUUUCAUCCAUGGUUUCUGCAACUUGCCCACCCACAAAAGUAACUGAAGAAAGAGAGAAGAGAGUUAUGAAAACCAUGGUUGAAACACGAAAAACUGGGAGGAAGUUGGUUAGACCUCGACUUCUUAAAUCUGAAGAUGCCCAGCGUGAUGUUGAAAUGUCAGAGUUGGAUGGCAAGAAUAUGGGGAGGCCUAGCUUGGUAGCGCAGCCCUCUGUCUCUUUGUCCGGUGAACCUCUUGUUCGGAAACGCCCUGCUUCUCCAUCUCCUUCUGAGCUGGAAGAGCAAUCAUCUUUGCCUGGAGAUUCUAGUUCUGAUUUGCCUGUGCCUGCUCUUAAAAAGUCCAAGGGCUUAGAACCUGUUCAAGAGGAUGUUCAAGCAACCUCUGCUGCUCUUGAUAAUGUUGAAGUUGUUCCAACAGUUGAAGAAUUACUUGAUGCAGCUGCUUUCUUGCCUCAAGAUGCUAUCGAGGAAGCUUCUGAUUUUGGCAAGGAUGAUUUUGAACCAUUUCAAGGACUUGGAAAGGAGCCUGGAGAAUCUAAUCAUCCAGAUGAGGAAAAGUUAGCAGAUGCACAGAAUGAUUGUGAAAUCGUUGAUGAAGAGCAUGCUGAGAAGCCAAGUGAGGCUGAUCUAAUGUUAGAUGAAUCAUCAAAUUUGCAGGCUGACCAGGAUUUUAAUCAGCAGAUGGCUGAUGUUGCUGACAGAGAAGAAGGAGAAAUGCUCCCAGAAGGUUCUGACCUUGAUGGCGGAGAUGACACAGCUACUGUGGAAAUUCAAGAUGCAUCUGAAGUUCAGCCUGAUCAUUCAACUGCAGCUUCUAUCCCAUCUCCAGCUCCAAAUGAUGAUGAUCCUGUAGCUGCUGUCAAUGCAGAAAUCAAUGAAAUAAAUUCUCCUGAGAUUUCAAAUGCUAAUGAUCAGACUGAAGAAGGGGAACUAGCUGAAGAUGUUGCUGACGAUUCAAAUAAAUCUACUGAAGGCAACGAUCAAAUUGCUGGGGAUGCUGAACUUACCAGUGAAACUAGUUUAGGUGUUGCUGAAGGUAAUCUGAGUUCUGUGGAAUCUUCUAUUUCCAGAGAAGAUAGUCCCAAUGUGAUGGCUAGUCAGGAAGCAACUCAGCCUUCACAUAUGAGAGCAAGCUCAACAACUAUAAUGAUAUCUGAAAGAGCUAAGGAGCGGGCUGCAGCUAGGCUUGGACGUUCCCCUGCACCAGAUUCCACUCCUUCUUCUGCUGCGAGGAGAGGGCGAGUGCCAAUGACACGAAGUCGAGGUGCCCGAGGUAGCCGUGGUGGGCGUAGGCCAAGUUCUGGUGAUCAGAGCUAAAACUAUAAGCUGGCUUAUUUCUUGCCACCCCAACUGUGCAAGUUUGAGUUGAUGCCGAUCAAAGAGUGCAAGAGAAGGAGAGCUGUAAAGGAGAUUCAUUUAGUUUGAAGGAAGAAAGAUGUACAAAGAUAUUCAAGCAAGAUCCAUGGCUUAUGAACAGAUUCGUGGAUUUACUUAUGUGUAGGUGUAUUGAGUAGGCAACAAGGACUUGUCGCAGCUUACAACCUACAAGAACAUCAAGCACCAUUUUUCUUAGUCUUUCUCUACUUUGCUCGACUUUUGUUUAGGGUUCUAAGAAUGCUUUUUGAAUGGCAAGUCAAACUUAGCACAAGGAGUUCAUAAAACUUGCAUUUGCACAUUUUGUUGCUCUGUAACAUAUCUAGCCAAAUAUUAUGUUGCAUGGUACUGAUUAUUUUUAAGAGAAAUGGGGAAGGGUAUAAUUUAUGGCUUUUUGCAUAGGUGAUUAAUUUCAGGGCACGAUAGACUAGAAUUGUGUAAGUAUCAAUAUAAUUUUGGUAGAUUUUCUGCUAUUAUGUUGAAGUCAUGGUAUUUUAAAAAAUUGAUUAGCUUUAAAAUUAAAA